rnacentral:snRNA from 1 species
AACUUUGCACAGUGGCAGUUUCAUAGCCAAUGAGGUUUAUCCGAGGCGCGAUUAUUGCUGAUUGAAAACUUUUCCCAAUACCCCGCCGUGACGACUUGAAAUCAUGAGGAAAGG